GUUUCACUUUCAAACAGAUGUAAUUUACCUUAAAUAAUUGUAUCUCAAUCUCUAAAUUGAACUUUAAUCACAUACAGGAGGCUCUUGCAGGGCCUAGCAAGCUAUUACCAUAGCGGGGGAUAAGAAAAUCUUAAUUAAACAGAACUUGCAAUAAAGAAAGCCUAAAUAGGGCUCUCUUUACAGGAAGUGUUUAUGGAAGGCUGUGCAAGUCACAUGCAGGAAGGUGUGACUAGGGUUCAUAAACAAAGGGAUUUAACUCCUAAAUGGCAGAGGAUUGAGCAGUGAGGCCGCAGGGGCAUGUUCUAUACACCAAAACUGCUUCAUUAAGCUAAAGUUGUUCAGGUGACUAUAGUGUCCCUUUAAG
rnacentral:lncRNA from 1 species